UGGGGAAUAUUGCACAAUGGGCGAAAGCCUGAUGCAGCGACGCCGCGUGAGGGAUGACGGCCUUCGGGUUGUAAACCUCUUUCAGCAGGGAAGAAGCGAAAGUGACGGUACCUGCAGAAGAAGCGCCGGCUAACUACGUGCCAGCAGCCGCGGUAAUACGUAGGGCGCAAGCGUUGUCCGGAAUUAUUGGGCGUAAAGAGCUCGUAGGCGGUUAGUCGCGUCUGCUGUGAAAACUCGAGGCUCAACCUCGGGCUUGCAGUGGGUACGGGCUGACUAGAGUGCGGUAGGGGUGACUGGAAUUCCUGGUGUAGCGGUGGAAUGCGCAGAUAUCAGGAGGAACACCGAUGGCGAAGGCAGGUCACUGGGCCGCAACUGACGCUGAGGAGCGAAAGCAUGGGGAGCGAACAGGAUUAGAUACCCUGGUAGUCCAUGCCGUAAACGUUGGGCACUAGGUGUGGGGUCCAUUCCACGGAUUCCGUGCCGCAGCAAACGCAUUAAGUGCCCCGCCUGGGGAGUACGGCCGCAAGGCUAAAACUCAAAGGAAUUGACGGGGUCAUAGCUGUUUCCU
rnacentral:rRNA from 1 species